rnacentral:pre_miRNA from 1 species
UCGUGAUGAUGAUGAUGAUGAUGAUGAGGAGGAGGAGGAGGAGGAAGAUUAUGAUCGUGAUCAUGAUCAUCGUCGUCGUUGUCAUCCUCCUCAUUUUUCCUUCUCCUCCUCCGCCUCCUCCGCCUCCUCCUCCUCCUCCUCCUCCUCAUCAUCAUCAUCAUCAUCA